UACGUAGGACGCAAGCGUUAUCCGGAUUUACUGGGCGUAAAGAGCGCGUAGGCUGUUUCGUAAGUUGGGCGUGAAAGCCCCCGGCUUAACUGGGGAGGGUCGUUCAAUACUGCGGAACUUGAGGGUGGAUGAGGAGACUGGAAUUCCCGGUGUAGUGGUGAAAUGCGUAGAUAUCGGGAGGAACACCAGUGGCGAAGGCGGCCUCCUGGACGGAUACUGACGCUGAGGCGCGAAAGCGUGGGGAUCAAAC
rnacentral:rRNA from 1 species